GAUGAACGCUGGCGGCGUGCCUAAUACAUGCAAGUCGAACGCUUCACUUCGGUGAAGAUUGGCGAACGGGGGAGUAAUACAUAAGUAACCUGGCAUCUACAGGGGGAUAACUGAUGGAAACGUCAGCUAAGACCGCAUAGGUGUAGAGAUCGCAUGAACUCUAUAUGAAAAGUGCUACGGGACUGGUAGAUGAUGGACUUAUGGCGCAUUAGCUUGUUGGUAGGGUAACGGCCUACCAAGGCGACGAUGUGUAGCCGACCGGAGAGGGUGACCGGCGACACUGGGGGUGGGACAGGGACAUGACGACUAAGGGAGGCAGCAGUAGGGGAUGGUCGGCAAUGGGGGAAAAUAUGACAGAGCGGCGGCGCGUGAAGGAAAAAAGAAUUCGGUAUGUAAAGAUGGGUCAUGGAGGGAGAACGGCGGAUGUAGGGAAUGAUGCGCGAGUGACGGUACUGUAUAAAGAAGCCACGGCUAACUACGUG
rnacentral:rRNA from 1 species